rnacentral:rRNA from 1 species
GAUGAACGCUGGCGGCGUGCCUAAUACAUGCAAGUCGAGCGAACGGACGAGAAGCUUGCUUCUCUGAUGUUAGCGGCGGACGGGUGAGUAACACGUGGAUAACCUACCUAUAAGACUGGGAUAACUUCGGGAAACCGUAGCUAAUACCGGAUAAUCUUUUGAACCGCAUGGUUCAAAAGUGAAAGACGGUCUUGCUGUCACUUAUAGAUGGAUCCGCGCUGCAUUAGCUAGUUGGUAAGGUAACGGCUUACCAAGGCAACGAUGCAUAGCCGACCUGAGAGGGGGAUCGGCCACACUGGAACUGAGACACGGUCCAGGCUCCUACGGGAGGCAGCAGUAGGGAAUCUUCCGCAAUGGGCGAAAGCCUGACGGAGCAACGCCGCGUGAGUGAUGAAGGUCUUCGGAUCGUAAAACUCUGUUAUUAGGGAAGAACAUAUGUGUAAGUAACUGUGCACAUCUUGACGGUACCUAAUCAGAAAGCCACGGCUAACUACGUG